rnacentral:rRNA from 1 species
CCUACGGGGGGCAGCAGUGGGGAAUAUUGGGCAAUGGAGGCAACUCUGACCCAGCAACGCCGCGUGAAUGAUGAAGGUCUUCGGAUUGUAAAGUUCUGUGAUGGGGGAUGAACACAAUGACGGUACCCCAAUAGCAAGCCACGGCUAACUACGUGCCAGCAGCCGCGGUAAUACGUAGGUGGCAAGCGUUAUCCGGAAUGACUGGGCGUAAAGGGUGCGUAGGUGGUUUAGUAAGUUGGCGGUGUAAUUCCGGGGCUCAACCUCGGCGCUACAGCCAAAACUAUUAGACGAGAGUGCAGGAGGGGUAAGUGGAAUGUCUGGUGUAGCGGUGGAAUACGUAGAUAUUAGGAGGAACAUCAGGGGCGAAGGCGGCCUGCUGGACGGUAACUGACGCUGAGGCUCGAAAGCGUGGGGAGCAAACAGGAUUAGAUACCCCGGUAGUC